UACGAAGGGGGCUAGCGUUGUUCGGAUUUACUGGGCGUAAAGCGCACGUAGGCGGAUCGUUAAGUCGGGGGUGAAAUCCCUCGGCUCAACCGAGGAACGUCGAUCGAUACUGCUGUUCUUGAGGAUUGCAGAGGAGACUGGAAUUCCCGGUGUAGCGGUGAAAUGUGUAGAGAUCGGGAGGAACACCGGUGGCGAAGGCGGGUCUCUGGGCAAUUCCUGACGCUGAGGCGCGAAAGCGUGGGGAGCAAACGGG
rnacentral:rRNA from 1 species